AAGGAGGUCCCCUGUCUCCCUGCACACAGUGUAUUAUAACUGCAGCUAUAAGGUUAUGGUGUAAGGAGGUCCCCUGUCUCCCAGCACACAGUGUAUUAUAACUGCAGCUAUAAGGUUAUGGUGUAAGGAGGCCCCCUGUCUCCCAGCACACAGUGUAUUAUAACUGCAGCUAUAAGGUUAUGGUGUAAGGAGGUCCCCUGUCUCCCCGCACACAGUGUAUUAUAACUGCAGCUAUAAGGUUAUGGUGUAAGGAGGUCCCCUGUCUCCCCGCACACAGUGUAUUAUAACUGCAGCUAUAAGGUUAUGGUGUAAGGAGGCCCCUGUCUCCCCGCACACAGUGUAUUAUAACUGGAGCUAUAAGGUUAUGGUGUAAGGAGAUCCCCUGUCUCCCCGCACACAAUGUAUUAUAACUGCAGCUAUAAGGUUAUGGUGUAAGGAGGUCCCCUGUCUCCCCGCACACAGUGUAUUUUAACUGCAGCUAUAAGGUUAUGGUGUAAGGAGGUCCCCUGUCUCCCUGCACACAGUGUAUUAUAACUGCAGCUAUAAGGUUAUGGUGUAAGGAGGUCCCCUGUCUCCCCACACACAGUGUAUUAUAAGAGCAGGUAUAAGGUUAUGGUGUAAGGAGGUCCCCUGUCUCCCUGCACAGUGUAUUAUAACUGCAGCUAUAAGGUUAUGGUGUAAGGAGAUCCCCUGUCUCCCCGCACA